UACAUGCAAGUCGAGCGAACGGACGAGAAGCUUGCUUCUCUGAUGUUAGCGGCGGACGGGUGAGUAACACGUGGAUAACCUACCUAUAAGACUGGGAUAACUUCGGGAAACCGGAGCUAAUACCGGAUAAUAUUUUGAACCGCAUGGUUCAAAAGUGAAAGACGGUCUUGCUGUCACUUAUAGAUGGAUCCGCGCUGCAUUAGCUAGUUGGUAAGGUAACGGCUCACCAAGGCAACGAUGCAUAGCCGACCUGAGAGGGUGAUCGGCCACACUGGAACUGAGACACGGUCCAGACUCCUACGGGAGGCAGCAGUAGGGAAUCUUCCGCAAUGGGCGAAAGCCUGACGGAGCAACGCCGCGUGAGUGAUGAAGGUCUUCGGAUCGUAAAACUCUGUUAUUAGGGAAGAACAUAUGUGUAAGUAACUGUGCACAUCUUGACGGUACCUAAUCAGAAAGCCACGGCUAACUACGUGCCAGCAGCCGCGGUAAUACGUAGGUGGCAAGCGUUAUCCGGAAUUAUUGGGCGUAAAGCGCGCGUAGGCGGUUUUUUAAGUCUGAUGUGAAAGCCCACGGCUCAACCGUGGAGGGUCAUUGGAAACUGGAAAACUUGAGUGCAGAAGAGGAAAGUGGAAUUCCAUGUGUAGCGGUGAAAUGCGCAGAGAUAUGGAGGAACACCAGUGGCGAAGGCGACUUUCUGGUCUGUAACUGACGCUGAUGUGCGAAAGCGUGGGGAUCAAACAGGAUUAGAUACCCUGGUAGUCCACGCCGUAAACGAUGAGUGCUAAGUGUUAGGGGGUUUCCGCCCCCUAGUGCUGCAGCUAACGCAUUAAGCACUCCGCCUGGGGAGUACGACCGCAAGGUUGAAACUCAAAGGAAUUGACGGGGACCCGCACAAGCGGUGGAGCAUGUGGUUUAAUUCGAAGCAACGCGAAGAACCUUACCAAAUCUUGACAUCCUUUGACAACUCUAGAGAUAGAGCUUUCCCCUUCGGGGGACAAAGUGACAGGUGGUGCACGGUUGUCGUCAGCUCGUGUCGUGAGAU
rnacentral:rRNA from 1 species